rnacentral:rRNA from 1 species
GGGUGCGAUCAUACCAGCGUUAAUGCACCGGAUCCCAUCAUAACUACAUAGUUAAGUGCGCUUGGGCUAGAGUAGUACUGGGAUGGGUGACCUCUCGGGAAGUCCUAGUGUUGCACCCU